UGGGGAACGUUGGCUGCUGAAGAAUUCCUUUUCUCGUUUCCUGGCUGUGAUAUUCGAACGUUCCCGUAAGCCGUUCAUAUGAAUAAAAUGCUCCAGCAUCGUGAGCCGACACAUACAUUUCCUGUAAACUCGAACCACAACGGGUUUGUGAAUCGGCAACGGCCAAUGCUUAGCUUCCAGCCAAAGUCAAGUUCAGCACAAGGCUAGAGAAAGAAGGAAGCCAGAAAGCUUCAGCAAAUGACUAGCAGCGGACUACAUCGGCAAAAUCGACAUGCAAUCCGUACCAGGAAGCGUUAACCAGACCCAAACCAAAUGGUUAGUCGUGCGAGAAAGGUGAUGCAAGUCUGCGCUUUCUAAUGACUGACAUUUCAGUGCUGAUAACAAACCCAGAAAAAUGAAGCAGAUACUUUUGUACGGUUUCACAAAGUUCAU